rnacentral:piRNA from 1 species
AAACUGGGUUAGUAAGAGCUGGAGA